UGUACAGGAUCAUUGUGAGAACCAAUAGGAAAAUUUAUAUCCUGAGUCUGAUAAAUUGGGCUUCCUCUUCUUGUGAGGCAAGGUCACACUUCGGUUCUUUCCAUCCUGGUGAAACAAACGUGGUACACCGGGAGACUGAAGAGCCAGUGUUGUGUACUGGCUGAAUGUGUGGGCUCUGGAGCCAGAUGCCUGGGUUUGAAUCCUGGCCGUGCUGCCUAGGAGCUGUGUGAUACUGGACAACUUACUUAACCUCUCUGUGCCUCAGUUUCCUCAUCAGUAAAAGGGGCUGUCUAUAGCACCUACCUGAAGAGGAUUAGAUGUGUUGGCGUGUAUGUGGUGUUUAGAACAGUGUUUGGCACACAGCAAUGACUUAAAAACGUUAGCUGUCAUUAUGUUAUAGGUAUCUAAGUGUACCAUUUCUUGCAAUGCCAUGUUUUGCCCACACAACUUCCAGCCCCCUGCCCUCAGGUAGGUGCCCUGUCUCACCUCGAGGUUGCAGAGGUGGCUGAGCUGGCUCAGCAUGGGGGCAGCCAGGGCUCUGUGAGCACGGUGGACAGCUGGUUAAGGAGGGUGACGUUUGUUGGGGUGGAAGGAAUCUACGGUGACAUCCAGUCAUGAUAUUAUUUUGCAGUUGCAUGAUGUUGAAAGAUGAGCUUUUCUCUAAUCUUUAUGAUCUAUGAACCCGAGGGUCCUUUUAGGAGGGGGUGUGUCGCAGAUGACCAGCAGACUUCUCCCUCACAGCAGGUGUGUGCCAAGCUCAGAGAAAGGGCAAUAGACUGGGGUGGGUCUUGCCUAAAAUUCGUAGUCCCAUUCUCUUGAUCCCACGUGCUCCCUGGGGAUAAGGUGGGGUGGCAACAUCUCAGGUCCUGUUGAGGAGAUUUUCCAGCGUCUUCCAUAACAAUCGUGAGGCUGUCCACACGGAGGGGGUUGGUGUUAUGGAGACACAGGUGACAGCUGCCAGCAGAGUGGUGACGUCAGCCUUUAGUGCUGUGUGUACCUCUUCCUGACAUCACCUAGGUUUCCAUCAGCCUGUCAAACGCAGCGUGGAGUCACUCCCCACAGGCAGGUUCCCAUGUACAGUCGGCCAUCCGCUUCCACAGUUCCACAUCCGCGGACUCAACCACCGCAGCUCUAACACUGUGUUUACCAAGCACGGUCGGUUGAAUCCACAAACAUGGAACCUGCGGGUACAGAGGGCCGCCUAAGGGAUGUGAGCAUCCUGGGAUUCUGGUACCUGCGGUGGGUCCUGGAACCAACUCCUCAUGGAUACCAAGGGACAACUGCAUACUCUGGAUGAUCAAACUCGCAAGCCAGCCUCUGUGGUACCGACAGUGCCUCUCAUGGGGUGAGGGGGGCAGGGUGUGUGGGAGGCUUUGUGGCAGGAGGGGCUCGCGUGAAACAAGAAAGACGAGGGUGGAGAAGGAAGCGUGACCCCCUCAGAGAAGUGCAAGUUGGUGUGGAUGCGUCAGGGAGGGUGAGGCGUCCGGAGGGAGGAGGCUCCGGCUGCGAUGAGGGCAACCUUGGAGUCCCAGCCAAAUCAUUUUGACUUGAUUCCAUAGGAAAUGGCGUGUGAUGUGUGUAGGAGGCCACAGGGGUCUGUCUUCCAGCUGGAGCCCAGAGAGGAAACUUUCUCAGACAGAGAAGUCGGGGCGCCGGGUGGGCUGCAGCAGCCCAUGCGAAUGCAUAAGGCGUAUAACCAGGCGUGUGCAGCCGGCCGUGUCUCUAAACCAGAUUCUCGAAGUGGGGGAUUAUCCGUUACUUUUUCUAGUUCUUCAAAUCUCUUAAUCCUCUAGGCCCUGAGCACGGAUAAUCCAGGGCUUAUGCUGACGUGAUUUUUCUCAAGCCUUCAUAAGACCAUAGUGUAUUGUCUUGUCAGAAGGAGAAACUGAGGCACUAUGUUCUAAACAGCCUGGGUCCAGGAACGGCCCCCAAUCCCUGUGGAGUGAGACUUACAUGGUGGGCUGCCCGGCCCCUUCCUACAGCAACCUGCCAUCUAAACUUGGUUCUUUUUCCCAAAUCUCAUAACGAGAGGAGGAAAAGCUUGUACCUAAGAGAUCUUAUUUGGACCAACGGCCAGUUCAACUGCUCCUGUUCGGCACAGGGUGACAAGCUGGGUUGGGAAUUCCAGGGGUCCAGCAUCCUUACCCUGUUGGUGAGCCGAGAACCAGAGGAAGCACGAGGAUUCGGCAGGUUCAGAAAGAUGUCCUGUAUGCCUGAUCCUUAGCCGUGUGGGAAAGGGGCAGAGCGAGGAGGAAGACUUGAGCCUGAGAAGAGAGGAGGCGUGCAGUGUGUGAUGUCCCCAAGCACGCCUGCUUCUCUGGUGGGACGGCCUUUGCAAAGAAUGAAGAGUGCGGGACGCUGGUCACGUAGACCUAAGAGUGGAGAGUGGGCAGUCCGCCUCCCGUGGGUGCUGGCCAUCCCUCCAUCCCUGACUUUCUCCCCACCCUCUCUGGAGCCUCUGCCAUCGACCUUUGCCCUCUGAGUUUCCUCCUCUGACCUGGGCUUCUUCUUGUUCUCAUUCUCCCUGGGGCAGUGGGAACAGCAGGCGGCCCAGCCAAAGCAUGGACAUCAGCCUCAGUUCCCCAUUCCCAGUAAGUGUGUGAGUAUAUGUAUGAGAGAGGGCGUGUGUGUGUGUGUGUGUGUGUGUGUGUGUGUGUAGAGGUUGGGGAUCAUCCACAGAUCAGAGCACGGGGGCAGAGAACUUCUAAAGGGUUGGGCCCCCCCAUGGGUCACACCCUUCACCCUGGAGCCUGGAGGGCCUGUCUCUUGGACCCACCACCAGCUUCAACACCUCGAGCAGCCAGAGCCGUGCCCGUCACUGACCGGAGGAAGGUGGAAGAAGACACGGGAGUAAGUCAAGCCCUUGGAGGGACUGGGUGCCGCUGGGCUCGGUGAGAGGCUGGAGAAGCCAGAGAUGCUCAGAAAGAGCAGGCAGCACAAGGCUGGAGAGGAGAGGGAAACUGGGGCACUUUGUGCCUCUGCCCCUCCCCCUUGCUUGCUGCACAACAGCCAUGCCCCCUUCCCUCGGGCCCUGCAAUCUGGGGGCGCUGCAGAGGUGGGAGGUCCUACGUGGAGCAGCAAAGGGUGUGAGGAUGGGAGGAGAGUGGUGGCCGAUGGGGUCUCUCCAGAGGUGCACAGUGCUUGUCCAAUGUCCAAAGGCAGGGACGAUGGGGAGCCCCCAGCCAGUGGUCAUGUUGUGAGGGAGGGAGAGAGUAAAUGAGGGAGUGGUUUAGACAAGACAGAAACCCUGCUUUUACUCACAGGUCCUCACAGUGGCCAGUAAGUACCCUGGAAAAGCUCUGGAAUAAAUACUCCUGGGCCUUAGAAAACGGAGGUAGGAGAUGGUAUCAUCUGGCGGGAGCUCUGGUUUGUUUAUUCCCCCCAGACUGAGGUCAGACACUUUGAGGAACGGGAGACAGUGAUGAGCAAGGCUUUGGAGCCAGCCGAGGGGAGGGCUCCGGACAGGUGGGCAGGAGGCCAGCUCAGCCGUCCCCCUUCCCCUUUGCUUUUGUGGACCCGAGGACCAAUUCCUGGUUCCCGGGACACUGGCCACUCCCUGCCACCCUCCUUUUUGUCUUCUAGCUUCUCCUGGUGGUGGCAGGCCCUCACGUCAGGUCCCAACAGGAGCCUCUGAGGCUGGCUGGACGCCUGCCACCAACAGCCUGGCUGGGUGGCUCUCUCAGGGUGCGUAUCCUGUAAGGUGAGGCUGUGGGGGCCCUGCAGAGUUCUCGGGUCUCCUCUUUGUUGGGUGCCUGCGGGAUAAAUAGCACCAUGAUCUUCCUGUGCAGAAGGCUGACCAGCCUUGGUGGGAACAGACACAGGAACCGGGGUCUGUUCCUUCUUCGGCUGCACCGUCUUCCUGUGGAGACACAGAUUCCCAUCGCGGGCUCCCAUUUUCCUGUUCCUUAAAUAAAAAAGCAGAGGUCAGUGGCAAGCAAGAAGGAAAUUCGUUAUCUCCCUCACACCUAAAAGAAACGCCUGCCGCCUCCUGUCUCUCCCUGGGCUCUGUCACCUCCGCCCAGUUUUCUGAGCCCCAAACCCGGUGUUCCUUCAAGACGCCUUGCUCUCAGCCAAUUGUCAGUCGGCAAGUGCGCCCCGGGCACGUGCUUUGUGCCAGGCUGUGCCAAGAGCUGCAGAGCCAGCGCUGGGUGAGACACACCUGCCGUCCAGGUGCUCACGGUCCAGGAGAGGGAACAGAUGCGGAAACAGGUGAUUACAAGUCAGUGCGAGCCGGACAGCAGAAGUGUGCACCCAGGACGGGCAGGAGGGCAGAGACCCCGUUGGGAUGUGGGGAGAAGCUUUUCAGAGAAAGUGGUCACACUCGCUGCUGUUUGAGAGGGGUUAUUACGGGGAGGCCCUGCAGUAAGCAGUUGAUGAGGAUCCGCUCAUCCAAGUAUCGUGACGGCACUGCCUGCACUGCCCCGCACGGAGGGGGUAGGUGACAGCAGGUGGCAAGGCGCCCUGGCCCCAGAGCCCGCACCCACCUCCCUCCCCUCCUGCCCCAGUGCGCCAGCCGGGAAGAGGCCAGGGGUCCCCCUGAAGAAGCAGCCGCUGACAGCCAUACCUCUUCUUCCUUCUCUCCUUUACGGGUGGGCCAUCCGUCCUUCAUUACACUCAUCUUCAGUCCAUUCUACCCUGCUGACAGAACGACCCCUCCGAAACACCAAAGGGAUACUGUCACUGCCGUAGGUGGCCCUCCCAUGGCUUCCCGGCCAGCAGAGGCUAAGGUGAGACUCCUCCGAUGGCAUACAAAGGCUCCCUUAGUCCUCUCCAGCCUCAGCUUUCCUGUCCGGUCUUACCUCCCCCUCUCCCCCAGCAGCCCUGCACGCGGCCUCAUUGCACAUACCCUGCUCAGUGGCCUCACAGCCCACAGCCCUGCUGGGUCAGGCCCAGGCCCUGGCACAUGACUGUUUUUCUGCCAGAAAUGCUUUUCUCCCUGGGUGCCCUGACGAGUUCCUGCACUUCCUGUAGACUCAGGCCAUUGUCAUCUCUUAUGAAACUUCCCUGACUGCCAAAGGCCGGGUUACUCAUGCCUUUCCUCAGCUCUUUGCCUGCACCCUCCGUGGUGGAUGGGCAGCCUCCCCUGACGAGCUCUGACGGUGCGUGGCUUCCCAAGCCCAUGUUCAGUGACUUCCUGGUGGUGGUCAGUAGCUUGCAGCCAGCAGUAGGCGGUGGGAGUACUGGCACUGUAGGAAUCUGCACGCUGCAGACAGGCCCUGUGUCCCUCCCCCAGAGCCGAGUAGGCAUUUACCAAGAUCGCCACCCCCGUGGGCUUCCUCCCCCGGGUCAGGGUCAUGAUGUGCGUAUUUGUGUCUCCCCUCCAAACUGCAGGUGCUUCCAAGGCGGGCUGUGUCUUACUUAUCCUUUCACAGACAGGCCCAGCAUAACGUCGGGUACCGUGUGGAAGAUGCACAGAGAUGAGACAGGCCCUAGAGAGCUUGUCAUUUAACUGUGGUGACAAAGGACUCUGCUGCCACCAUGGUCCUUUGAAAAUCUGCCAUGCCCAUGUCAGCUUCCUGCUUGAAGCCCUCUGUAGCUCCCUUCACCUAUGUGACCAGAAUGCAAAGUCCCUCGAGGUCGAGGUUUUUAUCUGUUUUGUGUAACAGAGGCGGCUCGGUGCUCAGACAGUGCCCAGCGUGGAGAAGAGCUUCGUACCAUUCGACACAUUGUUGUCGAAUGGAUAAAUAAAUGGUGUAGGUCACGCUCCUCAAGACAGCUUCAAGACCUCCCAUUAACCGAUUCUGCCUUCUCGCAGCUUCUGUGGCUGCUCCUCCUCUGUUGGGAGCCCCCUCACAGUCGCACUGCUCCCUCACCAGCCCCCUGAGUUAGGAGAGGUCCAGGCCAGGGCGCUCUUCUCCAGGCGUGAGCUCCCCUGCUCUUCAUCUGGCCCCAACCUUAAGUCAGGAUUGUUUUCUACAUCCUCAAUGUGGCUCUGAGCUCUCUGUGGGCGGAGCUGAUGUGUGGACAGCUUCGUGUCCCCUCCAAGACUGCAGCACCUAACAUAGUAGGUGCCCAGUGUGGGUUUGUGGUACAUAUUUGCCUACAUUAAAAAAAAAAAAAAAAAAAAGAGACCAGCAAGCUGUAUGCAAGUGCCGGCCUCUGACCUAGCCACUCCAUGGAGUUUCUCUGGUUGUCAGUCAUCCACCUAGUGUCAGUGAGGGCUGGGAGGGACGGAGUCCGGAACAUGGCUGGAGAAGGUAUUAGCCUCGGUGGCCUGAGCCAGUCAAGUCUCAGGGCGGAGGGAGCAGGCUUUGUGACUUGGUCUGUUCCUUCUCUAUCCCUCCCAGGUCAUGCCACCUCAUUCCUGGCUAACUACAGCUGCUUCUGCUAGCCAGCCGACCACCGUGGGGGAGCUCGGGAUGAGGGGUGGCAGCGAGUGGGAGCGGCAAGCCUGGAAAGUGGGUUGAUAGGAUGCACUUCCUGAUAAUUGGAGCUUGGUCAAGGUGGCGUCAGUCACCCGAGACUCUGAUGGAGAGAAUGAAGCGAUUGGUUCGGUGCAGGCUCAGAAGGCCUCAGUUUGAAUCUCAGCUUUGCCAGUAACUUGCCAUGUGACAAUGGGUAACAUACUUGCCUUUCAUUGACCUCAAUUUCCUUAUCUACAAAAUGGGCAUAGUGAUACCUACUUUAUACAAGGAAACAAUUGAAAGAAGAGUGAGCUAGAUGAAGUAUGAAAGUGAUUAACCCCGGGCCUGGCACACACUGUGUGGUAGAUAUUUCAUUAUUUUUAGCUGUUCUGUGUUUCAACUGGAAGCAGAACAAAGGCUUCCUUGUAGGGAACAAUCUGGCUGAGGCUCGACAAGUCACCAGGCAGUGAUUUGGAUGUAGGAUCAAGGGAUGUUGAAGGAUGGGCUAAAGUCUUGCUACUCAAAGUACGGUCCACGGGCCAGCAGCAUCAGCAUCACCUGGGAGCUUGCUGAAAAUGCAGAAUCUCAUGUCCCACCCCAGGUGCAGUGAUUAAGAAUCUGCUUUUUGACAAAUAAGAUCCCAGUGUGAUCCAUGUGCUCCCUAAGAUUGCGUGGCUCCAGGCUGGGGCACGGUUGCAGAGUCCCGCUGUUAUCACUCCAUGCAGCUUCUCCUCCUCUUUCCUGUGCUAACACAUCUUCCUGCAGACAGGUGGGCCCUGUGGGAGCAGGAUGUGCAGAGGAACAAUGAGGCCUGAGCUGAACCCAGCCCUGCCGGGGCGAGCUGAGCCACCAGCGGGACAGCAGUCUGACUGAACUUCCCCGUCCUGCCCAGGAGAUGGCGAGCGUGUGCUGUUGGUGCUUCUCAAAGCCCGCUGAAUUGCUUGAUACGAUCUUCUUUAUGUUAUGAAAGAAGCCAGAGCAGGUUACCUUCCUGGACGUCUACACCAUGGCACCAUGCUCUUCAACUGGGUCAGUUUGUGGUCAUUGCUGCCCACUCCUCCUACAAUCUCUUUGCUGACUACUCUUGCCCGACGAGUUAGCUUGGCUGUCCUCCUGUACACCUUCAGCCUCAUCGCCAUUUUCCUCAACUUCAACCAGCAGACAUACCUGAGAGGCAAUGGGAGAAGCUGACUUAAGGGGAAGGACCCCAGGGCUGAAAUUAGCAGAACAGUGCCCACAGAGACUUGGGCAGAAGACGGCGUGGCUCAGCCCACCUGUGCUGAGCACAUACCUCUGGGCCUGCAUUUUGUCCUCUGAAGGAAGGAGACUUUCCUCCUUUCCAAAAUUCAGGAGGGCAGAAACAGACCCAGCUUCCCGUACUCACUUCCGUUACGGCACUUCCCACAUGGGUUUGUAACUGUUUGUACAUCUCCUUCCUCUACUGGACGUGAGCACCUCGCAGGAGGGACUGUCUUGUUCUCGAUGUUCCCCACACCUGGCACAGCGCCUCAAUAAAUGUGCAUUUGGAUCUUGUAUUCCAUGCCUGGCAGUCAGGACCUCUGGGGAAGUUCAGGGCUGGGAGCAUGGAAGAAGUCAAGGCUGGCUUGAUAUCGAAACUUGUGUGGGAAACGAUGACCAAGAAAACCCAAGAGUGAGUGUGGGUUUGUCUGAUUUCCAGCAUGGCUGUGUAAAUGGUUACCCCCGUGUAUCUUUACAUCUGUUCACCACUGCCUGCAUGUGUAUUUGUGUAGCUGUCUGAUUCUGUGUGUGUGUGAAGGGGUGACCCAGAGGGCUAGGUACGUAUGUCUGAAUACUUGUUUUCAAAUAGAUGCACGUUUCCAUUUCUGUUUCUCUCUGUUUGUGAUGUUUGCUUGUGUCUUCCGUAAAUCUCUGAACAUGCCACACUGGCAAAUAAACACGCUGGGAUCAAGA